rnacentral:rRNA from 1 species
GACACGGUCCAGACUCUUUCUGGAGUCAGCAGUGGGGAAUAUUGGACAAUGGGCGAAAGCCUGAUCCAGCCAUGCCGCGUGUGUGAAGAAGGUCUUCGGAGUGUAAAGCACUUUAAGCGUGGAGGAAGGUCAGUAAGUUAAUACCUUGCUGUUUUGGACGUUACCAACAGAAUAAGCACCGGCUAACUUCGUGCCAGCAGCCGCGGUAAUACGAAGGGUGCAAGCGUUAAUCGGAAUUACUGGGCGUAAAGCGCGCGUAGGUGGUUCAGCAAGUUGGAUGUGAAAUCCCCGGGCUCAACCUGGGAACUGCAUCCAAAACUACUGAGCUAGAGUACGGUAGAGGGUGGUGGAAUUUCCUGUGUAGCGGUGAAAUGCGUAGAUAUAGGAAGGAACACCAGUGGCGAAGGCGACCACCUGGACUGAUACUGACACUGAGGUGCGAAAGCGUGGGGAGCAAACAGGAUUAGAU